rnacentral:lncRNA from 1 species
AUGGCCCCUUGGCCCUGCUGCUGGAGGCUGCUGGCAGGGUGGCAAGUGCCAGAGCCCCCCCAGGCUGUUCCUGGCUCCUGCCUUGGCAGGGGGGGCCCAGCCCUGCUGCGCUGGGAGCUUGGGCCACAAGAGCCGCUGCUGGGGGAGAAAAGUGACCUUGUGCUCACGGGGGGCAUGGUGGGGGGCAAGGCCCCAGGGGUGCUUUGCCUGCCAGGAAGCAGCCCUGCGACGUUAUUGCUUCCCAGAGGAGGGGCCCAAGCGCCCAGACCCUGCUGGCACUGGGGCAGGAGCAGCUGCGCCUCUGGCCCCUCUAGCCAGACAAGGCCCCUGCCUUGGAAGGGGGUCCCCGGUGCCCCCCACCCCUUUGUGCACGGUGCUGCAGCUCACAUCAGUUGUUGGGGGGCUGAGAGGAGAGGGCUCUGCUCUGGGACAGUCCCACUGGGUGCUUGGGCCAGGCAGGGGCUGGGCUGGACAUGCUUCUUGGGGGGGUUGUGCUCUGGUACCAGGGACUGGGGGUGGUGGGCAGGGCUGCACCGGGGAAGGCAGUGCUGGGCUGGGGUCCAGCAUCCUACCACGGGGGGAGCAGCUCUGCCCACUGCCCAGCCAGAGCAGGGCCACUGGGCCACCAGCCACCAAGAGCCCCUCUUCUGCCCCCAGCCUCUGGGCCCAGCCCCAGCCCCUGUCCUGGCUGUGAGCAAGGCCCCAGGUGCCUGCCCUGUGCUGGGACCCCUGAGGGGCUUUGGCUGGAGCCCUGGACUCUGGAGGAACGUGAGCGCAGAGCCCUGCCCCGGCCUCGGGAGAAGGAACUGUGGCAACCCCGGGUCCCUCUUUGCCACCAGCAGGCUCAGGCCACUCUGCAGCGGCUGCAUCCCUGUGGGGGGCACGGUGGAGGGCACCCAGGGGUGCCGCAGCUCCCCACCCAGCAUGGGUGCUGCAGCCAUGGCCUGGGCAGGCAGGAGGGCAGGGCUGGGAGAAGUGGCAGGGGCAGGCAGAUGCCCAGAGGUGGCAAAGAGAUGGAAGGGGCCAUCGGGCAUCACCCUGCUCAGGAGCCAGAGGGAUCGAGGAGGAGGAGGAAGGCUGCUGCUCCUUGCUUGUCAGAGGAUGGACAUAAGGGCUGCUCUCAGGACCGUGACAGGAGGCUGCGGGCAUCAGAGCCACCCCAAACCCUGA